GUCUUCUUUUCAUCAUAGAAUUAUGAAUGGGAACUUCACUCCAUUAUGAUAGAUACCAUAAUUGGCUUACAAGUAUUCAUUAAUUCUCAUUACUUGUUUCACUUCCCACUCUCAUAAUUUGAAUUUGAGGCCUCCUAGUGAAGAAACUAAUGGGAGUUGUUGCAAGCUCUUACGUCUCUUGGAAGCCCAACAAGGGUCAUGAAUUAGCGUCGCAAAAGGCAUAUAUCAUCCAUGAUGGACAAAUGGGUCACUGUCUGCAAGAUUUGCCUUGUGAGCUUUCAAGUAACAAUUUGGCUAGCUUUGAAUUACAAAGCUUGCUGUGUACUUCUCGUGUUUCUUCCGCUGAGACCACACUUCCAGGCCGCAGUCCAUGCCUCUUCAAUUCAUUUUCCAGCUGCAUGCCCUCAUCCAAUCUUUCCACUACCUUAUCAAAGCAAAGAUAUCGCCCAAAAGCUCCAUCAUCCAUAGCUUCAUAAACGCGGACGUGUGCGUCUGCAACCUUAUUCACAUCUCCAGUUGCUAGUAUGCCUCGUUGUAGCAUGACCGAGCCCCCUUUAAGAUAUGGUAGAGAAGUGUCUUUGUGAGCAUAGGGGAACGAAGGAGCCAUAAGAAGGCCAGGGCAGACUGUUACAAGCUUCACUUUCAAUUCCUUUGACUUCCCCCAAGCAGCCUUCUCUGCGGUCGUCUUCCCCAAGGCAAGCCAAAGCUUGUUUUCUCUGCAGAAUUCCUCGUUGCUCCAACAACCCUCAUCAA
rnacentral:misc_RNA from 1 species